rnacentral:rRNA from 1 species
UUGGUCGUCCGCAUUGUAAUCUAGAGAAGUGUUACCCGCGUUGGACCGUGUACAAGUCUCCUGGAAUGGAGCGUCAUAGAGGGUGACAAUCCCGUCUUUGACACGGACUCCCAAGGCUUUGUGGUGCGCUCUCAAAGAGUCGAGUUGUUUGGGAAUGCAGCUCUAAAUGGGUGGUAAAUUCCAUCUAAAGCUAAAUAUUGGCGAGAGACCGAUAGCGAACAAGUACCGUGAGGGAAAGAUGAAAAGAACUUUGGAAAGAGAGUUAAACAGUACGUGAAAUUGCUGAAAGGGAAACGCUUGAAGUCAGUCGCGUCGUCCGGAGAUCAACCUUGCUUUUGCUAGGCGUACUCUCCGGUUGACGGGCCAGCAUCAGUUUUGGCCACUGGAAAAGGGCGGAGGAAAUGUGGCAUCUUCGGAUGUGUUAUAGUCUUCCGUCGUAUACAGUGGCUGGGACUGAGGAACUCAGCACGCCGCAAGGCCGGGAUUUAUCCACGUUCGUGCUUAGGAUGCUGGCAUAAUGGCUUUAAUCGACCCGUCUUGAAACACGGACCAAGGAGUCUAACAUGCCUGCGAGUGUUUGGGUGGAAAACCCGAGCGCGUAAUGAAAGUGAAAGUUGAGAUCCCUGUCGUGGGGAGCAUCGACGCCCGGACCAGACCUUUUGUGACGGAUCUGCGGUAGAGCAUGUAUGUUGGGACCCGAAAGAUGGUGAACUAUGCCUGAAUAGGGUGAAGCCAGAGGAAACUCUGGUGGA